GGAGGAGGGCUAGAGGGGGAGGAGAGGAGAGCAGAGGGGGAGGAGAGGAGGGCUAGAGGGGGAGGAGGGAGCGAAACAAAAAUUGGAUUCUGAGUAGCAGAGUACUAUACUCAUGUAUCGUGUAAAGUAGCUUGUUGUUGUUUUGUAGUUUUGUAGGAAUUCCCCGCAACAUUUUAAAGUGGGACUGCAGGGGGGCACGUAUGGUGAUUUAGAAGGUUUCCAUGAGUUAAAACACUGCUGCUGAGAUGCUUUGCUCACCGUUAACAUACAAAUACUCAAAGUGGAGUCAUCUAUUUAUUUAUCUUUUGGGCUAAGAAAUGUCUGGAAAAUGUGCAGAAUCUAAACCUCCCAUUUGUCAGAACCGAUGCAAUCAAACUCCUCCGAGGUUCAACUCCUUGAACCCAGAAAGUUUGCGUUUUAACUGAGAAAAACACCAAAUUUUCACAUUUGAAAGCUGAACUGGGAAUAUUUCAAAUGUUUUGAUGAACCCCCUUGAAUGUCUCUGAAUCGACUGCUGUGAUGACUUACUUAUUAGCCACACUAAAGAUAACAAACAGCAGAGAUACUGAAGACCUCCAUUUAAUUGGCACCAAUUCAAGUUUAACUUUACUAUUUCAUGGUGGAUUUCACCUGCUGAACAUGGAACCUGCACCGACUUGGUAUAAGAUAAAAAUCAGUGCUGUUUUUUCGCCGAGGUUUGGAUGAAUCAUUAUUUCUUUUUGCAGCCUUUUGUUUGCAUGUGCCUGGUAAAUAUUUAAGCCGUGGCCCGUGGCAGUUAAUUGCAGGGUGUGUGUUUGUGUGUGGACACGGAGGCAGUGGGGAGGGUGCGAGGCACGCUGCCUGCCAGCUGUCUGUGGACCGAAAUCUCCAUCCCCUCCCUUAAUAAGCGCUCUGAGAGAUGCAUUGUUCUCCCCCCAAAAAGCAGACGCGAGGGGGGCAGCCUCCGCCAUCUGCCGUUCCACCCCUCCACCACUAGCACCAGCUACACGCCUCAUUCAUGCUCGCACACACACACACACGCAUGUGGAUGGAGAGACCUGGAUCAGCUGGCCUUUGGGGGGUUGGGUGCGUUGGACAGUCAUGUCAUUGAUUGCGGCCGUGAAAGGGAUCGUCCUAAUGGUGGCGCAGGCUGUUGGGUGUAAACAAGUCCCCUCUUGCCUUUCAGCAUGAAAAAAAUGCAGGUUGCUUUAUCUGAAAACGCUUACAGGCAGACGUCCACCUGCCAAUUUGCGUGGCAGUUGAAGUGCAGCAGUUGCUAGAGAAUGCUGAUCGCAUCAAGCACUGAUAAGAAUCUACAGGUUUCGCCGUUUCUCAUCGGGCCGAUAAGAUAAGUGAGAGGUUCUUAAUAGCUCACAUUGUUCGGAUGCACUAUGUACCAUUUUACGAGGGCUUUAUAAUGUCGCCCGCUGAGCUGCAGCUUGCUGAUGGAUUUUGACAGCUUGCUUUGACGUUUAUGAAAAAGAAGCACAUUCGCUUUCCUUGUAUCUGUGUGUGAAAGAUGGGAGCAGACAGCUUUGCUUAACAUGAAAUGAGUCAGUGUUCCUGCCGCUCUAAAGCUUACCAGUAACACUCAAAAAACAACGACAAACUGUUAUUACACUGGUUUUAUGUUUUAUGUUUAUGUUGCCCUGGGCCAAGAAAGGAUUUAAGUGACACGUGUCAUUCAUCCACUCGGUCAUUAGUACAAACCAAACGGAUACCUAACGUGUUGAUGGUCUCUAACUCUUGACAGACCACGCCAGCCUUUUCCAGUCUUUGUAGUGAUCAUACCGGUUGAAGCGUCGCAUGAGUGCAAUCAUCAUUCCAAACGAUCUCAGAAGGUAAAAAGGCCUUUUGCCAAACCUUUCCUUGGAACAUUUAUUAAGUGAAGAAAAACCUCAAAUUCAUCUCACUAAUUCCCACUAAAUGUGCGGUGUUGGAUGAUUGAGUCAAAAACAUACAAACUGUUCAGGUUGUCGUUUGUGUAUCAUUUUAUGAUACACUUUACCGAUAUGUCUGAUGACAUAUACUUGUCAUGCCAGACAUUAUGAUAUAUUUGCGAUUGACACUGCGUGGAUAUCCGUAUUUUACGAUGCAGAUGGAGCAGGUUUCGUAAGCACAGCUGCCUCUUUUUCUUUUCUUUACUUUUUGGCAAACUAGGACUAUUCAAAUUAUGAUAAAUAAAUCAGUGCUAAAAUGAAGCACAAAGCACAUUACCACUCAAACCACUGUGGCCGGAUGGUCAGCGUGGCACCAAUUUUCUAUAAUUGUUAGUUAUAAUCAAACAGACGCACUGUGGGAAGGUUUUGUAAUACAAGCUACAUUUAACGGAGCCAGAGUAAAUUUAUAAAAUCAAACAACCUAUGAAAAACUAUUUCGCUUGUCUCAUUAGUGGUGCAGCAUUAAAGCACGUCCCAAUUAGCAAACUAGCAGCGCUUUAAUGCACAGCUACAGAAUAUGAGUGGACGAGCGGGCCUGUGCCGCCGGGUCAAAGGUCCGUCAGUCUUUCUCCCUGUCUGUGGAAAAAAGUUCACUAUAUGUUCUUCUCCUCUUCUAUGUAUUAGCAUUGGCAGAGUGAAAAAUAAAUGUUAUCAAUAUAUUAUGUCGUUUUCCAUCUUGUGCCGGUCAGAGACUGAAGACUAACACGGCACAUCUUACACCACGUUGGUGUCCAUGUCGCCGCACAUUUCAGCUUCAUCAAGGCGGCAUUCUGUAAGACUUUUCUCCUCAGAGUUUCUGAAAAACCCAUCCGCGUACCGGGGUGACAUUUAGGAUCAGCGAUUGGGACAUGUUAAUGGCGCGGUCUGGGCUGACUGGGUUAGCACAAUGCAGACUGUGAUCUGGGAGCGGCAGCCUUCUUAUGUGAGGUGGGACAAGCUCGGCGCUCCGGCAGCUCCUUUUGUUUUCCUGCAAAGGAGGAAAUGGCCGCAUUCCUCACAUUACCAUGUCCAUGGGGUCGGACCGAGCCUCCAGUCUGCUGCUCUACUGGGGACGACAGGAGGGCAACCAGCAGCCACGCACGGUUUCUAUUUAAUGGGGCGGGGGUUCUCUAAUGAAUAACACUGCUGUCCUAAAGCAUAAGCACAACUUCUCCUCGUGGACAAUAGCCACGAAUAACUUAAAGAGGGAUUGAAAAGAGGCAGACCUUCUUCAUUCGGUUGAUUUGUGAUCUUCUUUUUUCCAAAGUCAGCACACAAUCAUUUUCUAUAGGUCAUAACAUUUCAAAUCAGAACGAGAAACAACACCUAGUGACACCCGAGAUUCCUCACUUAACCAUAAAAGUAAAUACUUGUGAGGUGAACCAGCAAGGCACUCUUGCCAGGAGGACGCAAAAAAAACAAACACUAUUCGAGUGUUAUGGUGCGAAACAACCUGCACACUCAUUACACUUAGAGUGCAAUAAAACGGUUUGAGCUUUCUGGCUUCUACUACAUACACUUCUUUGCAUAAGUAGUUGAAUUUGUGGACACAAGGACAAAACAUCUCCUUUUUAGAAUGUUAAACAUGACAGAUUGCUACAGAAUGAAGUGCACUGCUGUAUCUGAGGCGUGCGGUGCUGACAUGUACAGAGUUGCCCAGAGGCUGCUGCCCAUUGGCUGAAGCCAAGGGGUCAGAGAGCAGCUGCGGCGGUGAUAGUCAUCUCUGCAGUUGCACCAACAUCCUGCCCUCUCAUUUCCCUAAACAAAUCUGUCGAAGAUGCUCCGCUAGCAGCCACCUGACGUGCGUGUAACCACGUGUCGCGUUGGUCUUUCGCAUUACUUUUCCGUUGAAAAGACAACUGAAACAUUUUAGAGAGAAAUCUAUCUUUGUUGUGGAUUAGAGGACUUCAUUUCCCACCUGAAGGGAUUUAUGAAGGACAGGAGAGAGCCUAAUGCCUCUAGCAUCAGCUGUACACGCAGUGUAGUAGAUGAAUGAAUGAAUGACGUCACAAAGCAGAGUAAGAUUCACAACCGGCCAAAGAAGCACGCGACGAGACCAAACCAAAGACGCUGAUGUGAAAUAAGAGCAGCACAAACACUCGGAGCAGCUGAGGGACAAACAUUCCUCAGCGUCAGUGUUGCAGGAACCUUUGGAAGGUGUUAAGCUCAAUUUAGCCGUUUCAGGGAAACAAGCAACUUGUGUUUCGCCACCAACAAAGGCUGUGUGUCCACGGAUAACACGGGCCUUCUUCUGAAUGCUCAAGCUGUCGCUUUGAAUAAUGCCUCUUUUCUAUUGGAAAAUAACUGAUCUGAAUCAACGUUUAGGCAACAAGAAGUGGUAUUGCAGAGUUCACAUCUAGGCCAGGAUGCCUUUUGGGGGGGUUUAUCCGUGCAGAUGUCACCGCCGAUACAACCUUCAAAAUAAGAGGUUCUUGUUUUACAGCAAAGGCUGGCACUUAGUUGACUAUCGUGGGGCUUCUGCCCGGGGGGGGGCAGAUGUUUUGUCUGAACAAAGCACAGUGCAGCCGAUCUCUUGCCCUCCAGCUCACAGGCAGAUGCACCUGCCAGCCCCCCCCGCCCCCCACACGGACGUCUGCCACAAGAAUGUAUACACAAACAUCCCGCAGACCAAGUGUACGGUCAACAAUUCAAGAACACAAAGAUGGAGACUUGCCGUGUACGUUUUUACAUUUGGUAAGAUCUACACCUGCCCCCUGCUUUCCUCCCUGAGUGGAUCUAUUCAAGCAAUCUAUUUGCUUUACAUUCUUAAAGCCAUUGUGUCGACAGCAGGUGGGAGAACUAUUUAACGUCACAUCGGCUCACUUGCAGCUGUGAACGAGCGUUGAACUGUUCAACCGGCCGGCUGCCGGCGCUCGUCUAAACAGAAAAACAACACAAGUCAUUUUAAUCCGCAUUUGUGGAUCCAAAACUGCAGCGACAACAAGUCUGAACAAUGAAUCUCAGGUUACCCCCCCCCCCCCCCCCCCCCAUCACAGGCCGGCCUGGUGCGGUCCCAGUGGAGACAGAUGGCCAGGCUAGAGGCAUCGCUUCCAGACUAGAUAAAGAAGUCUCCUCGGGCCACGCUGAGUGCAGAGCCCCCAAUCUGCUCAUCAGCCACCGAGGCCUCUGUGAAACGCCGCCUGGGUCAGGAAGGGAGCAGGUGGUGGACCUGCAGGCGACACGGGGCUGCGCAUUGUGAGAGGGAGAGAGUGAAGUGCAGGGUUUGACAAUGAUGACAAAGGCCGAGCAAAGAGGAGAGAAUAAUGCAAGAUGUACGUGUGUAUCAGUUUACAGCACGUUGGAGACGUUUAAGCCGGUCGGGCAUAUUUAGAAACAAUUUAACGAUAAGAGGGAUUGAUUCGAGAGUCUGUGGCCGGAGCCUCGGUGGUCCAGUGUUCAAGGGGACAAACUGGAGGUCACGUAUUAUUCUCAUAUCUCUUCAUGUAAAAUGCAUAUUAAUAACACUUUGUGGUCUUGUUUGACCAAAUAAAUGAAAUAUUUAAAAAUAUAUGUGGGGUUCUUCACUAAGAAAUGCGUACAUUUGAAAAAAAAUGCCUAUUUGACUACAACGUUGUUCUCGUUGUUUAUAUGAGAUAAUGUUUGUAUCGAAAUUAUUAUUAUUAGGAGCAAUUGGCCAUUUUGAACACACAAAAAUUGUCAGUGAUACUUUGAUUAUAUUUAAGGAAAAAUCUGUGUUUUAUUUGUCUUUAAAAUAUCACAUCAACACCUGAAUUGUGACAAAAGUAGAAUUGGUGUGUUGAUCCAUGUAUUAAUAGACUUGUAAAUCAAUAUUUGUGCAGAGAUCUAUUUGUUUACAUUUAGAUAACACCAGCUGGUCUCUGACACAAGUGAACAUCUGUCUGGAUCUAAACACAAACUCUGACUCUGUAUUUGAUCCGUGGCUGUAUUUAUUGUUGCGUCUCAGUGUUGUAGCAGAGGUUAUUGUCCGAAAGCAGCGCCUGACACAGUUUCCUCUGUCUGCCCCCCACCUCUGUCCCAAAUGUCUGACUUUGUGUUUCUGGCAAUUUGCUCCCAUUGUGCAGCACUUCCUGAUAGGAGGCACUCUGGAAGACUGGGAUCACUCAGCUGCAAAGGAAUGUGACAUUCCUUUCUAAAAUUACGGGUGUUUCUUUGGAUUUCUGGGUCUGAUUUCGGGCCAUUUUCACUGCGCUGUUUAGAGAAAGUGUUUCCGGACAAGUGAACACAAGAGCGUGUAUUCUAAACCUGAUUCACGAUCCACUUCAACAGACCUUUGGACUUUUAAACUUUUAACUAACGGUAGAAACGGCUUUACUUUUAACGUGGAAUAAUAUUGUUUUGCCGCAGAAACCAGAUCAGCAUAUCAUCACCUUGUAAGUUGAUAUGGCAAACCUGUAUUUACCAGCCUUGAAUAACCUAAUAGCCUCAUUAGGACGCCACAGUUGCAGGUUUUUAUUUAUAUAAAUAUAUAUGUAAAUAAAUGUAUUGUAAUGAAUAAAUACAAAAUAUACUCCUCGUUCUGCUCGGUAUUGGUGUUUAAAGAUUGUCUGUUUAGCUGCUAAAUGCUGUACUAUGUUCACAAGUUAGACUCUUUGUCUGUCUCACACGUGGUGCCGGAUGUGCAGGGUCAUCUUUCACAUUUUCUGACAAAAAGCAGCUGCCUGCAAAACGCCUUGGAGAGCAGUGAGAGUGAACCAACAACAAGUCUGCAAAUCGAAACAAAAAAUAAGCUGUACAGCUUAGUUGGGUUAUUGACCUCGACUGUAGACCCGAUCCCAACUUGAGCCAACCAGUCUCACUCUGCCGCACAGACUCUCCUGCAUCUUUAAAAUGUUCUUCCUUUUCUAUUCAUAGGUAGUCGUGAUCUAGUGACGUGUACAAGUGGUUACCUGCAGGGGUUGGAGGGGCAUCUUUACCAGAGUGCGUCAGCAUAUCAUUUUAACAUCUGAACUGUUAUUAUUAUUUUUCUGAAUCCUUCUGACAUCCUGGAUUCAGCCUUCAAACACUUACCGCAGACUGAAAUAUUUUCUUCAAAAAUCUCUAAUAUUUCAGGGGGUGGAGUGCGAUCUCCAUAUAUAUAUAAUAUAAUAUAUAUUAGUGAAAUAUAUAUGAACACUAAUCAACUAACAACUCAGAAAGUAUAAUCAACAGCCCUCCAUUCUGACCGAUUCAUGUGAGUAGUGUUCUUCUCUUUGAAAUGAUUUUAUUGUGUGGCUUGGAACUCUUAACAGGGACAUCGACAUGUAUAUUACUAAUUUAAAAGGUAAGCCUGUCCAUAAAUAGCACUAUGUCUGCAGAGAGCUUUGGUAAAUACAGGCCUAACUGAACCGACACAAGCAGGCCACAGCCUCCGUGUGACAACCUCCAUCUCCAGAUGGUGGACUGCAGUUAAAGGGAGAAAGGCGGGUGGGGGUGGGGGGGGGUCAGACGUCAGGAAUGAGGAAAUCCCACCCCGGCCCCGGCAGAUAGAGGACAGGAAGCACUGCCCAUUGAGCACAAAUUCACCCUCAGUAUUGCAACACGCGCUGCUCGGGGUGAGCACCUGAGAGGGCACGGGACGGGACAUGUGGCCACCUGAUGGUCAGGUGGCCUUUACGUCCCUGAUGACAUCUACAGGCCGAGAGAGGAGAAGAGUUAAUGAGGAAACAGUUGUCAGGUCCAGGAGCCCCAUUCAUCAAGUGAACAUCUGAACCGGCGACCAGCUAAAUGAGAAGUAACUUAGCUCAACGCAAGCACAGGCCUGAUGGCCAAAUGGAUUCUCUUAUAAUAGCUCACUCCUAACUUUAAUUAAGUCAAAUUCACAGCAUGUGACAAAGUCAUUGGACCACAAUUGACCAAAAAGUGUCUUUGGCAUUUGCUGAACAAGCAACCGCGACAGCCCGGUUGUUUGUGAGGCCUCGCAGAGUGAUCACCACAGGUGAUGACGCUUUUCUCUGUGAUCUCCGACAGUUUUAUGACCCGCGUAAUUAGAGACUCAAACACACGAGGGGAGCAAAGUUGAGCAGGCACCUCGAUCGGCUUCGGCAGAUCUCGGGAUAAGAGAGUGUUUGCAGACACGCAGCGUCAAGCCGCUGCACCCGCCGCUCUGUUGAGCGUCACGAAAUGUGAUGCUUUGACGGAGGAACGGGUUGCUGAGUGAGAUGUUACCUGUGAGGGUUGGUGAGCGGCGUGGGGGUUUUGGAGAGGGAGGGAGAGUCAUCUUAAGUUUGAGCUAACCGUCGUUUCAGUCUUCCCACCACCUGUCUGUCAAGCUUACUUUGAGUCAGUGCCACGGACUGAUGAGUCGGGUUUAGAAACUAGCGAAAUGAGGAAGGACGUCACUUCCUCAGGCCUUUCUCUUGCAAAGACAUCAAAUCAAAACAUGUUCAGCUGUUUAUAUCUCUGCAAAUGAAAGAAUGUAAACUGACCUUUCCCCUUAUCCAACUCAUCAGUGCGUCCCAGCCGGGGUGCUUGUGUGGGAAAGAUUAUGAUCAGUUGUUGCACACUGUUUGUCCCCCAACCCCUUUUUCCCUAGAGUUUCUUUUUCAGGUGUGGAUGGAUCAAGCAUAUCACAACUCAGAUUGAAUGGAGAUCACUUCAGUUUUAUGUCCAUUCACGUCCAUAAAGUUACAGCUGCAAUAAUAUACAAAAAAAAGGAUACAGUCAUAACACUUUCCUACUACGGUGCAGAGCGGCUGGCUCCCUCUGUUUUAUUUAUCUGAUACCACGUCACACCUCCAACUGUGAGCACAGAACGAUGGACAAAGGUCCAUCCAAACAGUGCAUGUCUUUGCGUAACACACACACACAUAUAUAU
ensembl:lncRNA